UUACGGCCACAUCAUGUUGAAACAGCGGUUCCCGUCAAAUCACCGAAGUUAAACAAGCUCGAACCUGCUUAGUACCUAGAUGGGUGACCACUUAGGAAUACCAGAUGCAGUAA